rnacentral:rRNA from 1 species
AUUGAACGCUGGCGGCAUGCCUUACACAUGCAAGUCGAACGGCAGCACGGGUGCUUGCACCUGGUGGCGAGUGGCGAACGGGUGAGUAAUAUAUCGGAACGUACCUUAUUGUGGGGGAUAACGCAGCGAAAGCUGUGCUAAUACCGCAUAAUCCCUAAGGGGGAAAGCGGGGGACCGUAAGGCCUCGCGCAAUUAGAGCGGCCGAUACCUGAUUAGCUAGUUGGUGAGGUAAAGGCUCACCAAUGCAACGAUCAGUAGUUGGUCUGAGAGGACGAUCCGCCCGACUGGGACUGAGACACGGCCCAGACUCCUACGGGAGGCAGCAGUGGGGAAUUUUGGACAAUGGGGGCAACCCUGAUCCAGCAAUGCCGCGUGAGUGAAGAAGGCCUUCGGGUUGUAAAGCUCUUUUGUCAGGGAAGAAACAGCAGCUCUAACACAGUUUGCGAAUGACGGUACCUGAAGAAUAAGCACCGGCUAACUACGUGCCAGCCGCCGCAGUAA